rnacentral:rRNA from 1 species
UAGAGUUUGAUCCUGGCUCAGGCAUGAACGCUGGCGGCGUGCUUAACACAUGCAAGUCGAACGAACCUUCGGGUUAGUGGCGGACGGGUGAGUAACGCGUGAGAAUCUGCCCUCAGGAGGGGGGUAACGGUUGGAAACGACCGCUAAUACCCCAUAUGCCUACUGGUGAAAUGAAUUUCGCCUGAGGAUGAGCUCGCGUCUGAUUAGCUAGUUGGUGAGGUAAUGGCUCACCAAGGCUUCGAUCAGUAGCUGGUCUGAGAGGAUGAUCAGCCACACUGGGACUGAGACACGGCCCAGACUCCUACGGGAGGCAGCAGUGGGGAAUUUUCCGCAAUGGGCGAAAGCCUGACGGAGCAACGCCGCGUGAGGGACGAAGGCCUCUGGGCUGUAAACCUCUUUUCUCAAGGAAGAAGAUAUGACGGUACUUAAGGAAUAAGCCACGGCUAAUUCCGUGCCAGCAGCCGCGGUAAUACGGGAGUGGCAAGCGUUAUCCGGAAUUAUUGGGCGUAAAGCGUCCGCAGGCGGCUUUUCAAGUCUGCUGUUAAAGCGUGGAGCUUAACUCCAUCAUGGCAGUGGAAACUGAAAGGCUUGAGUAUGGUAGGGGCAGAGGGAAUUCCCGGUGUAGCGGUGAAAUGCGUAGAUAUCGGGAAGAACACCAGUGGCGAAGGCGCUCUGCUGGGCCAUUACUGACGCUCAUGGACGAAAGCCAGGGGAGCGAAAGGGAUUAGAUACCCCUGUAGUCCUGGCCGUAAACGAUGAACACUAGGUGUCGGGGGAAUCGACCCCUUCGGUGUCGUAGCUAACGCGUUAAGUGUUCCGCCUGGGGAGUACGCACGCAAGUGUGAAACUCAAAGGAAUUGACGGGGGCCCGCACAAGCGGUGGAGUAUGUGGUUUAAUUCGAUGCAACGCGAGGAACCUUACCAGGGUUUGACAUCCUGCGAACCUCUUAGAAAUUUGAGGGUGCCUUCGGGAAUGCAGUGACAGGUGGUGCAUGGCUGUCGUCAGCUCGUGUCGUGAGAUGUUGGGUUAAGUCCCGCAACGAGCGCAACCCACGUUUUUAGUUGCCAGCAUUUAGUUGGGCACUCUAGAAAGACCGCCGGUGAUAAACCGGAGGAAGGUGUGGAUGACGUCAAGUCAUCAUGCCCCUUACACCCUGGGCUACACACGUACUACAAUGCUACGGACAAAGGGCAGCAAACUCGCGAGAGCUAGCAAAUCCCAUAAACCGUGGCUCAGUUCAGAUCGUAGGCUGCAACUCGCCUACGUGAAGUAGGAAUCGCUAGUAAUCGCAGGUCGGCAUACUGCGGUGAAUACGUUCCCGGGCCUUGUACACACCGCCCGUCACACCAUGGAAGUUGGCCAUGCCGAAGUCGUUACUCCAACCCUUGUGGAGGAGGACGCCGAAGGUGGGGCUAAUGACUGGGGUGAAGUCGUAACAAGGUAACC